rnacentral:tRNA from 1 species
AGAGGAGUGGCAGAGCGGUUGAUUGCAACGGUCUUGAAAACCGUCGUCCGUUAACGCGGAUCGGGGGUUCGAAUCCCUCCUCCUCUGCCG